CUGAUCACUAUGCCAAUUUUAAAGACGAUUCCAACGGAAAAAAUUCCAUCGAUGUUAACCCUGGUUAUAGUACGUCAAAGAAGUACUGUCGUUUUAAAUCGAUGAUGAUCGUUUAUUUGAAGAAAUGUUUCUUGAUAAAAGAUUUGCCAUUCGAAAAGAUGUGCGUAUGAAGCUCAAAAGUUUACCUUGGAUGCGGGGAGAGUAUGGAAACGUCGGUCCAAACGAGAAGAUACCAUAUUUCCAUUUGAUUAUCACAGUUGAUUAUGAUAAUGGAGAUUUUGAGGAAGAUGUAUUGAAAAAUGAAAUAAAUAAGAAUUUUGAACCUUA